rnacentral:rRNA from 1 species
CGGCGGACGGGUGAGUAACGCGUGGGUAACCUGCCUCAUACAGGGGGAUAACAGUUGGAAACGACUGCUAAUACCGCAUAAGCCCACGGGUCGGCAUCGACCAGAGGGAAAAGGAGCAAUCCGCUUUGAGAUGGCCUCGCGUCCGAUUAGCUAGUUGGUGAGGUAAUGGCCCACCAAGGCAACGAUCGGUAGCCGGACUGAGAGGUUGAACGGCCACAUUGGGACUGAGACACGGCCCAGACUCCUACGGGAGGCAGCAUG